ACGAACGCUGGCGGCGUGCUUAACACAUGCAAGUCGAACGGAAAGGCCCUGCUUUUGUGGGGUGCUCGAGUGGCGAACGGGUGAGUAACACGUGAGUAACCUGCCCUUGACUUUGGGAUAACUUCAGGAAACUGGGGCUAAUACCGGAUAGGAGCUCCUGCUGCAUGGUGGGGGUUGGAAAGUUUCGGCGGUUGGGGAUUGACUCGCGGCUUAUCAGCUUGUUGGUGGGGUAGUGGCUUACCAAGGCUUUGCCGGGUAGCCGGCCUGAGAGGGUGACCGGGCACAAUGGUACUGAGAGACGGACCAGACUCCUACGGGAGGCAGCAGUGGGGAAUAUUGCACAAUGGGCGGAAGCCUGAUGCAGCAACGCCGCGUGCGGGAUGACGGCCUGCGGGUUGUAAACCGCUUUCGCCUGUGACGAAGCGUGAGUGACGGUAAUGGGUAAAGAAGCACCGGCUAACUACGUG
rnacentral:rRNA from 1 species